rnacentral:rRNA from 1 species
GUGGGGAAUAUUGGACAAUGGGGGCAACCCUGAUCCAGCCAUGCCGCGUGCGGGAAGAAGGCCUUCGGGUUGUAAACCGCUUUUGUCAGGGAAGAAAUCCUUUGGGUUAAUACCUCGGAGGGAUGACGGUACCUGAAGAAUAAGCACCGGCUAACUACGUGCCAGCAGCCGCGGUAAUACGUAGGGUGCGAGCGUUAAUCGGAAUUACUGGGCGUAAAGCGUGCGCAGGCGGUUUUGUAAGAUCGAUGUGAAAUCCCCGGGCUCAACCUGGGAACUGCAUUGGUGACUGCAAGGCUGGAGUGCGGCAGAGGGGGAUGGAAUUCCGCGUGUAGCAGUGAAAUGCGUAGAUAUGCGGAGGAACACCGAUGGCGAAGGCAAUCCCCUGGGCCUGCACUGACGCUCAUGCACGAAAGCGUGGGGAGCAAACAGGAUUAGAUACCCUAGUAGUCC